CAUACAAGCAACACUAAAAGGA
rnacentral:piRNA from 1 species